rnacentral:lncRNA from 1 species
UUUUAGUGUUUCUAGGGCACCUAUAACCUCAUAAAGAGAUUGUUCAUGCCACAAUUUUCAUUACUUCACUUUUGGAGUUGUGGCUUUAUGAAUAUACUGGAGAAGAAAGACCUAACACCUGCUAAAGGGCCUUCUGUCCAGUCUGCCUAAAUUUCCUUCAUGUGGCUAACGCAUCCUGAACUCUCAGUAGCUUUGUGGUUUUAAAAAACAAUUUUAACAGAAUCCCUGCCCCUAUGAUAACAUGAGGGAGCAGGGGGGUUGGAAUCAGACAGGCCUAGUGUAUACAGAUGCUUAAAAUACAUCACUGACUAAAGGCUCAUAUUUCAUAUCCAUUGGAUCUCAGAACAAAAGGUAUUCGGUUUUCUUUAUGGAAACUGCCCCCUUCUAAAAUUAAUCAAAGCAGUCAGCAAAGAUCCAUAGAAUACAAGAUAAGACGAACUAAAAAAUAAGUCUGCAGUUGGGAAAAUAAGGACAAAGGGGAAACAACAGAAGGAGAGUAAUACAAAACCAAGUGAGAUUAGGACACACAAGGCCAGGUGAACAUGCCUGGCACCUGCCACAGAUGGGGCAAACAUUUGCAUCCACCGCCUUCCAGAGGCCUGUGCAAAGACAGACAUGCAACCAGUGCCCCGAGGCAGUGCCUGCGUAGAAGACAGACCUUCAGAACUAGCAGGUGAGGGACUUGGGACAGGGGGGUUAUCUCAGGAAAACUAGAGAGAGGCCCAUACCCACACUGGGGAGGGCAGAGUCAGCACAUGAUGGCUGGGGUGAAACUCCUGAAAAUAGGAUCUGGGGUCUAGUCUUUUUUUUUUUUUUUUUUUUUUUUUAGGGCCACCUCCACAGCAUAUGGAGGUUCCCAGGCUAGGGGUCGAAUCAGAGCUACAGCUGCCGGCCUACACCCCAGCCAUAGCAACGUGAGAUCCGAGCCGCAUCUGUGACCUACACCACAGCCCACAGCAACACCAGCUCCUUAACCCACUGAGCGAGGCCAGGGAUCGAACCCGCAACUUCAUGGUUCCUAGUCGGAUUCGGUUCCACUGCACCACCACGGGAACUCCAUGGGGGUCUAGUCUUUUACAAAAACAAAUGGGCACUUGAAGACCCAGAGUCCUGCACCACAGGGUGUGGCCAUCAGGCCUUCAACUUGGAAAAUAUUUUAAGCAUGUGUAACCAAACACCCACUUCGGAGGUUUCAAGAAAAAAGCAAAAACUAUAGUAGGGGUCAGAGAACCCGAGGCUUUGAACAAUGUAACUCCCUGGCAACCAGAGGCCUGAUGCCAGAAUGUAUCGAAUUUCCAAUAGGGUGGUUAGAGCCAAGCCAGAUCACAGGCCUGUGAUCACAGCAGAACUGCCAAGGCAAGGCUUCACGAGGGAGAGGAAAGCGGUGGUUCUGGAGCUUUAGCAGCAUCACAGUCACCUGCAGGCUUAUUAAAACAAUCGCUGGGCCCCAGCCCUGGAGUUUCUCAUGGGGGUAGGGCUGAGAAGGUGCGUGUCAAAAGAGUUCCCAAGUGAUGCUUAUGCUGCUGGUUCUGGGACCCACAAUUUGAAAACUAGAACCUGGGUGCAACUCGGAUGACCCACAUAUUUGAGGAUGGGCAUUACAUUACAAAAUCUUAAUGUCGUUACUAAAACUAACUCCAAUUUUCAGGAUGGCAUGGGUUGCAGUGAAGCGGCCCACUCCGUACCUACCCUGAGCAGCCUACUCUUUGCUAUAGAUGCCUGCCUCUUUGAGUUGAAAAUCCCCAGGGAGAACUCUGAUUUCAGAUCCCGCCAUCUGCGGCCCUGCUUGCUGUUACUAAGUUGGAGCAGAGUUUCUUAUCAAAGCUUGCCCGGCUUGAAACAAUAUAACAGUGUCAUCUGCAAAGAGGAAAGGGAGCAUCUUUCUGUUUUCUGUGGUGAAGACGAGAAUAUCCAGUUUAUCCCCAAAUGGUAUUCGGUCAUUAAGGUAAUUCAACCGCACAAAUAUCGUUUUGAGCACAAUCUGUGCACCUACUGUUCUUAGACCUGCGGGGAUGCUGCUUGACUGCCUGGUGCUCGGGUGGGGGUGAGUGGCAGGGGAGCUGAGAGCACACACAUUGUUCUCCCAGGACGCAGUUAUCUGUGUCAAAAGGCCAUUGCCAAGGGCCUCACUCUCACUGCGUGGCCUUCCUGCCGUCACACUAUUGGGGAUGAGCCCGUUUGAAGUUGGUGCGGCUUAAUCCCAGGCUGACUGCACAGACGUUGGAUGGCGCUAAGAGCUACAAGCCAUCUCAUGCCACCCAACGUAUUUCUACGCAGGAUGGGAAGAGCUCGGCUGACCAUACCGACAACCUGCUUUUGGUUUCAAACAGCCGUCCAUUUACCAAAGAGGAAACUGAGGCUCAGAGGGGUUAAGCAACUGGUUUGUGGUCACACAGGAAGCAAGGGCCAAAGCCAGGAUGUCAAGACAGGUGUCAUGUCUUCACCCUGAGCCUCAGCUCCUUCCUCUGUAAGUCCCAGAAAAUAAUAAUAUCCACAGGGUGGAUCUAAAGAUCCCAGGAGACAACCUGCAGGCUGCCUCUCCUUUGGCAGAGGCCCAGCUUCCUCCCUUCUAUCUGAACUCAUAGCAGCAAAAUUGCACUCUCGUUGGGAUUACCACUCCAUGAAUAUACAGAGGACAUAAAUUUUUCCCCAAGAUAAUCUCUCUAAAUGAAGAACACACAGCCCCCGUGGAAAGCUUCGCAGUCUCCGUUCCUCCUCAUUUAAUCCUCACAGUAAUAUUGGGAUAUAGGUAUGAUUAUCCCCAUUUGACAGAAGAGGAAACUGAGGGUUUAAAUUGGACAAGAAAGUGCCUUCUUUCCCCUUUUACCAUGUAAACAUGAUGCAAUCUCAUUCAAACGAGUUAUGUUUUCUUUCCCCAAAAUAAAGAGGUUGUUAGUCACAUAGUUAAGAAUAGAGACAUGCUUAGAACAAAAGGGAAAAAAUAUAUAUAGAGAGAGAGAGACACACAAGCAUAGGCACACGUAGUCCUUCUAUAAAUAAAACAUUUUUCUUUAAUACUACGACAACUGCUAUCUUUGUUUUGGCAUUGAGGAGGGAUUAAACUAUACAAAAUUGUAAGGCAAACAUGGUGCUGACGGUGGGCAGGGCACUAAGGGGGGGGAGUGGGAAGUGCGCUUUGUUUCUAGAGGGCCUAGGCAAGGAGGAGAAGCAGCUGGUGCUGCCAUGCCCAGGAGCACGUGCCCCUCGGUCCGUCUGGCAUGUCAGUGGCUGCCAACACCCCACUCCUCAAGCCUGACUGAGCCCUUGGUACCUUCGGAGCUGGCAGAUGUCUGUGAGCUCUCAGCCCCCUCCCCGUCACACCUGUAAAGCCAAGCAGGGGAGCCCCAUCCACUGGCAGCAUUUUAUCCCAGGUCCUUACCUCACGGGCUGUCCAUGGAGAGAGGCCCGAAUUAGGGCAGUUUAGAAAGAGGGGGGGCAGACAAAAAGAAGUCCUUGUUCCUAAGCCUCUGGCGCUCCUGGCCUAAGCCUGCCUGGAAGACACUCUGCAUGGGGGAAGGGCCAGCCCUCUGGGCUUGGGCUCUGGUCCUGGCUCUGUCAUUUCUCAUGGCCUACUUCUGGGUAAGUCCCUUAAAACUCAUUCGCCUCGGUUUCCUCACCUAUAAGUGGGGAUAAGAACACCCACCUUCCAGAAUGUUUGUGAGGCUCAAUAAGAAGUAGCCCUUGAAUCCACAGUCUGAAUUGGGUCCCCUGCUGUCACUCCUGGGAUCCUGGAUAUUCCGUCCAGGCUACAGUUCAAGUUCCCCUAUCAUUAAUUAGCUGUGGGAAAGUCAGUUAACCUUGCUGGGCUCCAGUUUUCUCUUCUGUAAAGUGGGGGUCAUGACAGAGAGGAGCCUGGGAGACUGAUUACCAAGAUGCAAUGAGAUCAUACAUGCAGAGUCUGAUACAUGGUAAAUUGCACUUAAGUGGUAGUGUCUUCAAAGCUGUCAUGCUUGACAUGUAACAUCUGCCUUCUACACUAGACUGUCAUUCCUUCAGUCUUAUGAACAUGGAUGGAGCACCUAUUACAUGACUGACACUGUUCCAAGUGCUGUGACACGGUGACAAAUAAGACAAACUCUCCUGAAAAUUACAGGCUAAGGGGGGAGGCUGAAAAUAAACAAUGGACUAUCACGUAUUCAUGAAGGCUCUGGUAAGAAUGAAAGAGGAGGAGGUUUCUUCCAGGCCUCACGGCAUAGAGGAGCUAGCCAUGUACAGAUGUGAGGGAAGAGAGUCUUAGGCAGAGGGAACAGCCAACGUAGAGGCCCUAAGGCAGGAAUGAGCACGGCUUGUGUGAAGAUCAGAAAGGCCAGCGGGGCAGGAACAUAGGAAGCAAAGGGGAAGAAUGAUGCAGGAGGAGGUCAGAGAGGCGGCAGGAGAUAGAUCAGGUGGGCGCUUGCAGCCAGGAGAGCUUAGGUUAUGUUGCAAAAGGGAUGAGAAGUCAGUUUAGGAGGGGGGGGGGCGCUGGUGAGAACAUGGCCUGGAUUAUAUUUUAAAUAGAUCCAGAGGGACUACUAUGGGGAGACUUCUGGCAGAGUCACUAAUGUCAUCGCCCCCACUUUAGACACUGUUCUCAAACAAGUCUGCUGGGGAGGGGGUGCUAAUAUCAUGCCUGUUUUACAGAUGUGGAAAUCAGGACACAGAAGGGUUAAAUAACCCCCCACAAGGCACCAAGUAAGAUUUGGGGACUCGGAGGGCAAACUCAAGUAGCCGGACCCCAGAGCCUGUGCCCCUCACCAUCAUACCACACUGCCUCUUAGAUGAACAGAAUGGCCCCAUUCUCGGUAGCCCUGGCUUGGUGCAGAGUGAGCCCCCAGUAAAUGUUUGUUGAAUAAUGAAUGACAUAAAAAAUUUCUGUAAAUUGAGAAGUGCUACGUAAAUAUUCUUAUGGUUAACAAAUUCUUCAGAUUACAGGAAUUCCGUUCAUUUCAAACUUCCUCUAAUGCGUAACAGAUUUUCCUGGGAAAAGGAAAAGAACAGAGGUAGGACAUUGACUUCACGGCUGAGUUCCUUUACCGAGAGGCAAACAGCAGUUUGACAAAUCCGGCCUGAGACACACUGGAGGGGCGGUUUCCGUCUAAGACAACUCCGGUGGUUGGCCUCCAGAAGAUGAAAAAUUCCCGUCUACGCAGUUAAUCACCACCACCAUCCACUUUCUUUCUUCCUAUUUCACUUGUCGGUGAAUGAAUACUUUCAAAAGAAAUACUUCCAAGCAUUUCACUCAUACAGGUGGGAAAACUUUUAUUAUUUUUUUUUCUUUUUAG